GAUGAAAAACGCAGCGAAAUGCGAUAAGUAAUGUGAAUUGCAGAAUUCAGUGAAUCAUCGAAUCUUUGAACGCACAUUGCGCCCGCCAGUAUUCUGGCGGGCAUGCCUGUUCGAGCGUCAUUACAACCCUCAGGCCCCCGGGCCUGGCGUUGGGGAUCGGCGGAAGCCCCCUGCGGGCACAACGCCGUCCCCCAAAUACAGUGGCGGUCCCGCCGCAGCUUCCAUUGCGUAGUAGCUAACACCUCGCAACUGGAGAGCGGCGCGGCCACGCCGUAAAACACCCAACUUCUGAAUGUUGACCUCGAAUCAGGUAGGAAUACCCGCUGAACUUAAGCAUAUCAAUAAGCGGAGGA
rnacentral:misc_RNA from 1 species